rnacentral:lncRNA from 1 species
GGUGGGGGAGGGGCACAGGGUAAAGUCCCCAAUCCCUGUCUUACCCUGUCAGUGGAGAGGAAAAGAAACCCACCUGUCCCAGUCCCUGUGGACCCCCGAGGAGCAGGCCAAGGACCUCCAGCAUCACAGCCUCGCAUGACCCCGGCUGGGGUGGCCGGUCCUGUGACCGGGGCCAGGGUGUGGCCGGUUCCCUCUUGCCUGUGUUGAAGCAUGGACUCCUCUGGGCCCUCAGCCAUCAGCCCAGCCUCCCUCACGGAAGAUGGAGAAUUCCAGACAAAGCUCAUCCUUCCUCCAGGAAAGCCUGCUCCAUCUGCAGUAAUUGACGGCCUGAGAAGCUCUGCUCUUGGGCUGAACCCCAAGCAGGAGGAGGCCGGGGUCCUCAGGAGCAGCAGGGAGUCUCAGGACAGGAUGGCCAGGGCCAGAGGUCACCUGGUGAGGCGGACAUGUACUCCCAACCUGGGAGGUGUGGGGACUGCAAGAGAAACAGAGCUGGCAGUGGGAGGCUGGACGUGGUAGGCAAUGCCGGUCCUGCAUCCGGGCCCAUGACCGUUCUCACGGCGGCGAGCUGUGAUGGGGAGGCUGCCUUCCAGGUGCCAAGGUUAGAAAACCAAUCCCGGGCAGCCCUGCCGGGAGAAAGCUGGUAUUCUACAAAGGCGCGUGAAGAGGCGAACACGCA